AUUGAGUGUUCAGGUUUAACUAUGAUACACCAGGCUAGCGUGUUAUCUACCAACUCAGUCUGGGCUCCUAAAUAGAACAUACUAUUACCCUUGAAAACGUAGCAAGCUGUACUUCCACCGGUAGUUGUGUAAGUUCCAUUAAACCAGGUGUGUGACAGUCUUCUUAAGUCAACCGUGGCAAGAACAAUCUCCUUCUUAACCUUAGCAAAUUUUCCAUUAGAUUGCUUUUCCCAAAUGGUAGCCCAUAGAACGAGUCCUAUAGGUAUAUUUUGAACAGUUGAAAAACGUGGGAAAUCUGAUUUAAUAGUAAUUGACUCAAGGUUCAGGUCUGCCAUAUUGUUAAUAGGAUCUGUUCUCCAUGAAGGUGGAAUC